UACGUAGGGUGCGAGCGUUGUCCGGAAUUAUUGGGCGUAAAGAGCUCGUAGGCGGCUUGUCGCGUCGGAUGUGAAAGCCCGGGGCUUAACUCCGGGUCUGCAUUCGAUACGGGCAGGCUAGAGUUCGGUAGGGGAGAUCGGAAUUCCUGGUGUAGCGGUGAAAUGCGCAGAUAUCAGGAGGAACACCGGUGGCGAAGGCGGCUCUCUGGAACGCAACUGACGCUGAGACGCGAAAGCGUGGGGAGCAAACAGG
rnacentral:rRNA from 1 species